rnacentral:rRNA from 1 species
AUGGUUUGCUGGAAUGUGAGAGGGCUCAACAGCCCAGCAAAGAAGGAUGCGCUUAGGGAGCUCGCUGACUCGAUGAAAGUAGCUAUUUGGUGUAUUUUAGAGACUAAGCUCGUGCAUGUAGACACUUACAUUAUCAUGUGGUGCUUAGGGCCGGCUUAUGAUGGUUUUGCGUAUCUUCCUUCGUCUGAUACACGUGGGGGCAUUUUUAUUGCGUGGGACUCCUCGAAGGUGUCCAUAUCCAACACGGUGCUGGAUUCUAACUUCAUCACGGGCUACGUUUCCCCUAGGGAGGGACAACCUUGGUGGCUGUCGGUUGUGUACGGACCGCAAGAGGAUGCGCAAAAGAUUGCCAUGAUGGAGGAGCUGACAGCUAGACGAGGUCUCUGCCCAAGGCCGUGGAUGGCAGUGGGAGAUUUCAACAUGAUUCUGAAUGCUUUGGACAAAAACAACUCUCUCUUGGACAGGAGAAUAAUGGGUCGUUUCAAGAGGUUUGUUGAUGACAAUGCUCUCAAGGAGCUGUUCCUACAUGGCAGGCGGUUCACAUGGAGCAAUGAGAGAGAAAACCCCACCUUGACCAAGAUCGACCGGGCCUGGAGUCGGUGGACUGGGAGCUCGCGUACCCGGAGUGUUUGUUGCAGGCCCUCUCCACCAAUACGUCUGAUCACUGUCCCCUGUUUCUAUCAAUGGAAGACCAGCUACAACCGCGGAAAAGAUUCAGGUUUGAGAUGGUUUGGGUGA